rnacentral:tRNA from 1 species
CAAAGAAUAGUUUAAGUUUAAAAUAUUAGUUUUGGGGACUAAUGAUGGAGGUUUCUUUUUCUUUGA